UACGUAGGUCCCGAGCGUUGUCCGGAUUUAUUGGGCGUAAAGCGAGCGUAGACGGUAAUGUAAGUCUGGAGUGAAAGGCGGGGGCCCAACCCCCGGACUGCUCUGGAAACUAUGUUACUAGAGUGCAGGAGAGGAGAGUGGAAUUCCAUGUGUAGCGGUGAAAUGCGUAGAUAUAUGGAGGAACACCGGUGGCGAAAGCGGCUCUCUGGCCUGUAACUGACACUGAGGCUCGAAAGCGUGGGGAGCAAACCGG
rnacentral:rRNA from 1 species